GUUCUUCCCUGCACUGCCAUUCUAGAAAUCUGAAGCAUUGUGACCUCAGCUCCAUGCUACACACUAACCAACAUGGCAGCUGGCUUAUGGCAAUUAGAAAAGUGGCUCUUCUCAAGGCUGUGAUAGUCCAUGGUUUGAUGAUCAACCUGUGAAACCUCUGAGCCCGGAUCAAUUACCCUCCAGAGGGAUCCCAACACUCUUCUCAUCACUUGGAGAACACUAUCAUUUCUGUGCUCUUUGCACUGGGAGCCUCUCACAGCAGGAUCUACGUCAGGCCAAGGCUGAGGAGGCCUUCCGUGGAGAAGCCCUGGCCCAGGAGGGAAGCUGAGCCCCAGAGCACUCCAGGAAAAUGCUGGUUAGAAGAUGCCUAUUUACCAUGUGUGAUUUGGGGCAGCUCAAAGGCCACGUUGAAGGCUCCCCACCCACCUCCACCCGGCCCUAGUCCACUCUACCUCUGCCUCCACUUUCUUUGCCUCCAACCCAAUUUAGCUGAAGGGUUUUAUUCAUAUUAAAAUGUUCACACGGGGCGCCUGGGUAGCGCAGUCCUUAAGCGUCUGCCUUCGGCGUUCUGAGAUCGAGUCCCACAUUGGGCUCCUCCGCUGGAAGCCUGCUUCUUCCUCUCCCACUCCCCUGCUGUGUUCCCUCUCUCGCUGGCUGUCUGUCGCAUAAAUAAAUAAAAUCUUAAAAAAAAUAAAUAAAAUGUU
rnacentral:lncRNA from 1 species